rnacentral:lncRNA from 1 species
GUUCAGUGAUAUUUGUUUUUCGUUCAAUUUUUGUACAUAAAUAAGGCUGUUAGUUUUCUCAUUUAAAUUGUUUUACAUUGUCAUUUCGGGGUCUUUUAUAUCAGACUAUGCAGUAUCGGCUUUUGCUUAUUGUUGAAGGCCGUAAGGUGACCUUUAAAUGUUAAUGUCGGUGUCAUUUUGGUCUCUUGUGGAGAGCUGUCUCAU